UUUAAGAGCCAGGUGUGGUGGCACACGCCUUUGAUCCCAGCACUUGAAAGGCUGAGACGGGAGGAUCACGAGUUUGAAGCCAGCCAACAGCGUGGCCCGGGGCCACGGCAGACGGUGCUAAGCCUAGUGGGCAGCCAGCCUUCAUGUGCUCCCAUGCUUUCCUUCUGACCACUCCUCCCACUGUCAGUUAUUUCCAGGAAGAGCUCAGCCAGGUGGCCAAGUCUCAGCCCAGUUCCCCUGGAGUGACCCUGAGUGUUUUAGUCCUGAGAAAUGCAACAGUCCUUUACCAACUCCCCUCCUGGCCCAUCCCUCCAAGAACAAGUCCAUAGUGACACAAUGUGCUGCUGCUCAGAUUUUCAAGUCAAGACAAAGUGUCAUCAGUUAACUUCAAAGGAAAAAUCUUUUGGAAAAGAAUUUCAAGCAAUGACUCAGAAAGUUUCCCUAAGAGGCAAUCCAGAGGCAUCUAAGUCUCAACAAGCUUUUAGGACUGAGGCAGGAGCAGAACAUUCAUGUAAAAAAAAUCAUAGGAAUGGGCAGAAGGAAGUUCUUUUCCCAAAAGAAAGGUUCCAGGCAAAUGGCCAGCACCCCUGAAAACCAGCAUAGCAGGGAAAGACCAGAAAUACAACAAAUUGGAAUGUGUGUUUCUGGGUGCAGAGGCAUCAGAGGGAUGGGCCAGGGCAAAACACUGGUGGAUAGAGGGUAGGUAGCCAAGGUGUUCCAUGGGAACCAGGCCUGAGUGGUCAGGUGGCCGGUCCCAGUGGGUCAAAGCCUAUGGAUAUCAUGUGUGUGGGAACUUUUUCAGCAAAAACACACCUUUUUUGACUUUAGAAAAUUCAUACUAGAGGGGCUGGGGGUGUGGCUCAAGCGGUAGCGCCCUCGCCUGGCAUGCGUGUGGCCCGGGUUCGAUCCUCAGCACGACAUACAAACAAAGAUGUUGUGUCCGCCGAGAACUAAAAAAUAAAUAUUAAAAUUCGC
rnacentral:lncRNA from 1 species